AGGAGCAGCGGGCUGGGCUGGGGCAGGGGUGGGGGACCCCUAGCUUGGGCCUGAUUCUCCAGGACUCUGUGCACUACAGCUCCCCCUGAGUCCCCAUUUCACAGAGGGGACAACUGAGGCUCAGAGCAACCAAGGGCUCACAUUCAGCAGUGUUUUCAUCUGGGAUCUGGGAAUAUGCCUGACAACUGACUUGGAAAUCCCUGUGGACACUGGGCAGGAAGUUCCUGGAAUGCUGCGGGGCCUCAGAUUAGGAGAGCUGGGGCGGAGGAGGUGGCUGGUGACAGAGCUCAGGGUUUGUGCACUGGAGGCCUGGGGUUUAAUCCCCAGUGCCACAUAUGCUCAGCUCACUCUCUCUCCGUUCCUCUCAUGAAAUAAAUACAAAAAAACACCCCAAAAACUUUACUAUGUGCACUUAAGCCUGUGUACCACCGUCUGACCCCCCAAAGAAACUUUAUAAUAUUAUUGUUUAUUUUCUGAGAAGUUAAGAUUUCUUUUUUAAUAAAGAUUUUUAAAAAUAUUUAUUUA